rnacentral:lncRNA from 1 species
AUGGAGAACUAUCAAUCAAGAAAGAAAUGUAAUAUGAGAAAAAAAAUUAUGGAAAAAGGCAAUCUUGUUUUUAAAAGUUCUUGGAAGUCCAAGAUCAAACUCCUGGCCUAUACAGUUCCUAGUAAGGGCUCUCUUUCUGGAUUACAGAUGACCACCUACUUGCUAACGCCUCAGAUGUAGGAGAGAGAAAGCAGGCUCUCAGCGUCUCUUCUUAUAAAGGCACUAAUCACAUCAUGAGGACCCUAUCCUCAUGACCUCAUCUAAAUCUCACUACCCCUAAAGACCUUACCCCCAAAUACCAUUACACUGGGGAUUAGGGCUUUAACAUAUGAAUUCUGGGAGGACACAAACAUUCAGUCUAUAUUUGUCAGUAAAGGAAGACAAGGAAACCAAACCAAACAAAAAGAUAAUAAAUUUUUAAAACCACAAAAUGCAAUGAUAGAAGUAUCAAAAUCUGAUUAAUUCAUUUGAUGCAUACUAUCUAGUAAUAAAAAUGAAUGAAAUUGAUCUUCAUCUGUAUCUAUAUCAAUGAAAAUAGAUCUCAAAAACUAAAUGUUUGUUGAGUGAAAAAAGCUAGACGCUGGGUGGUAAGUAGAAUAUGGCUUAAUUUUUAAAUGUAAACUACAG